rnacentral:rRNA from 1 species
UACGUGGGGUGCGAGCGUUGUUCGGAAUUACUGGGCGUAAAGCGCGUGUAGGCGGCCUAUUAUGUCAGGUGUGAAAGCCCUCGGCCUAACCGAGGAAGUGCGCCUGAAACUGCUAGGCUUGAGUACGAGAGAGGAGGACGGAAUUCCCAGUGUAGAGGUGAACUUCGUAGAUAUUGGGAGGAACACCGGCGGCGAAAGCGGUUCUCUGGAUCGAUACUGACGCUAAGGCGCGGAAGGGGGGGGAGCAAGCGGG